AAAUAUUUAAAUAUAAAUGGGUUUGAUGGAUUCUUCAUUCCCUUAGACAUGAGUUGUCUAAAAUCCCUUACAUAUUUAGUGAUUUUACAUUGUAAAAACCUUACAUGUCUUCCAAACAACAUAGGUUCUCUUAAAUCCCUUACACAUUUAGAGAUUUAUUAUUGUCCAAAUGUCACCUCUCUUCCCAACGACAUGAGUUGUCUAAAAUCCCUUACACAUUUAGUGAUUUUACAUUGUAAAAACCUUACAUGUUUUCCAAACAACAUAGGUUCUCUUAAAUCCCUUACACAUUUAGAUAUUUCAUGUUGUGAAAACCUUACAUGUCUUCCAAACAACAUGGGUUCUCUUAAAUCCCUUACACAUUUAGAGAUUUCAGGUUGUAAAAACCUUACAUGUCUUCCAGACAACAUGGGUUCUCUUAAAUCCCUUACAUAUUUAAAGAUUUUAAGAUGUAAAAACCUUACAUGUCUUCCAAACAGCAUGGGUUCUCUUAAAUCCCUUACAUAUUUAAAGAUUUUAAGAUGUAAAAACCUUACAUGUCUUCCAAACAGCAUGUGUUCUCUUAAAUCCCUUACAUAUUUAGAGAUUAAAUUUUGUAAAAACCUUACAUGUCUUCCAAACAACAUGGGUUCUUUUAAAUCCCUUACACAUUUAGUGAUUUAUUAUUGUCCAAAUCUCACCUCUCUUCCCAACGACAUGGGUUCUCUUAAAUCCCUUACACAUUUAAAGAUUUCAUCUUGUAAAAAGCUCACAUGUCUUCCAAACAACAUGGGUUCUCUUAAAUCCCUUAUACAUUUACAGAUUUCAUAUUGUGAAAACCUUUCAUGUCUUCCAAACAACAUGGGUUCUCUUAAAUCCCUUACACAUUUAGAAAUUUCAAAUUGUAAAAACCUUACAUGUCUUCCAAACAACAUGGGUUCUCUUAAAUCCCUUACACAUUUAGAGAUUUCAAAUUGUUAAAACCUCAUAUGUCUUCCAAACAAUAUGGGUUCUCUUAAAUCCCUUACACAUUUAGAGAUUUCAUUUUGUGAAAACCUUACAUGUCUUCCAAACAACAUGGGUUGUCUCCAAUCCCUUACACCUUUAACAAUUGAAUCUUGUCCAAGUUUGGUUGAUAAUUCUUUUGCCCUGGAAUGUCUUACUUCUCUAAAAGAAAUAGAAGUGGCCGGCUGUGAUCAAUGGAUUAGAAAUUGGUCUGACGAUGCAAUAACCAGAUUUUUCUCAGUUGAAGAAGGUUCAUUGAUUUCGAUAUGCAUUAAGGAUGAUGAUAUUGAUUUAUUGUCUAGAUGGUUACGAAAGAAGAUUGAAUAUUCCACCAAAAUAACACAAACAUUGAUAAUCAACGGUGAUCAUCGAGGCAGUGAUUUCUAUAGAGGGAGACACCAUCUCAGUAUUUGUUGUUUUAAACAAGAGAAAUUACCAGAAGAGUUGGUGCAUGUUCAGGAUCUUCAAAUCAUGGCCGUUGAAAAUUGUCCAAAUCUAAAUUGCUUGCCGAAUGGGAUGAAAAAACCACAAUUUUUGAAAAUUGAGAAUUGCCCGAUGUUGGAGAAGAAUUGUGAAGAAAGAGGUUACGAGUAUGGUGAUGAAAUUGAAUCAAUCAUGACCUUUCAUAAUUUUUAAAAUAAAUUAAUCAUCUCACAACCGUUCAUUUAUUAUUAUUAUUAUUUUCUCUAUUAGAGUAUACCACUGUGUAAACUGUUUUUUUCUUCUUCCGUUUAUCGGUAAAUAACGAUAUUUUUCGUACGAAUAUGUCGUUCACAGAAACAUCUCGUACAAUGUUUUUAAAUUUCACUAUACCUCCGAUCGCUCUCUGUUUCUUUCUCAUUUAUGCUUUUUGAUUUUCUCUCUCCUCCCCUUCGCCGCCUAAAUCGUUCGCCGAGAAAUCGCCCGUCGAAAUCAUCCGCCAAACGCUCGUGCGAAGUCGUGUCCUCGCCGAUAUCGUCGUCUCCAAGUCUCCCCCGUCUUCCCAAGUCCAAAUCUCACGUUCUCGUCGUCUUCAUUGUUCCCAAGUCCUCGUCGAUCUUGUCCGCACCAUAUUCGUCUUCAUCUUAAAGUCUUAAAGUACGUAUUCGAAACCGCCGCCGUUGUCGAUGUCAUUAUUUUUUGGGUAUCCACUGACGGCGUCUUCAUCUUCUACAUUUGAAUAAACCAAACCCAUGCAUAUUUGUCAAUGAUGUAUUGUCUUCCGUCAAGGUAGCGGAACACUUUUUGAUCCCACCAUAUUCUUUGAUUGGAUCGAACCAGAGGUAGAUUCUUUGCUCUCUAUCUCCCUUUCCACCUGUGAUCGAUCGAACACGUUGGUCUGAACAAUUAAUGUAUGGCUCUUUGAGUUUUUUUUCCCAAGAACUCGAAGUCAAUCUCAUCGUGUUCAGAAUUCUGUGACUGAAGACUGAAGAAGAAGAACCACGAGGAUGGUGCAUGGUGGUGGUGAGAUAAUGAGAUUUAUCAGUACUGGUGAGAAUGAAAAACAUAGACUUACAUAGAAUGCAGUGGCUGUUCCGGCAAAAUCCCCGGGAACCAUCUUAAUCUGUAUACUCAAGUGUCCAAACAGGUAAGACCAUAUAUAAUUUUUCCUAUUAAUCUUCUAGCUGCCUCUCUAAUUUUUGCUUCUUUUCUAAUUUUUUUUUUAUAUCUUUGAAUAAUUUAAAUCUAGUUAAGUUACACUUCUUUUCAAAUUCAAACUCUUAUUUUCACAUUUAGGGGAGUGGGUCGGGUCAAACCUGAAUUCGAACAUGUCGGGUCUAAGUUUGGUUGGAUAUUAUCGGUCAUAAAACCCGAUAUACCUGAACCCGAGUUUUUUUCACCCGAUAUGAAGGACUUGAACCUGAGUUUUUUUCACUUGAUUUUUUUCGGGUCGGGUUCAGAUAAGACGUCCCGAACCAAACUCGACUCUCCUUAAACCCGAAUUUUUUUAUAAAAAUAUCUUAAAAUAAAAAUAACGACGUCUGCAAGGGGAUUGACUGUAACAUCUGCGAUCUCCAUUCCAACAGAAAAAAAAUUAGUAAAUUUGAAAGAAAAAAACGAAAAUGAAAUUCCCUAAAUCUUCACUGCACAAAUUGGUAAAAUUGAAAUUGAAUUUCAUUAAAGAAUAUGAUUUAACAUUACAUCUUUUAUCUUUACAUAGCCUUAGACUUAACCUCUAACUAUAUAUAACUGCCUAACUGUAUUCUAAACUCAUUUAUAACUUCAUUCUCUAAUACUGAUUACUGUACAUUUUUUUCCAAUAUAUAAUAUUAAGCAAAUUUGACUACAAGCAUCAAAACUGAGGAUCAAAAUUUUCAAGACGAGGAAAAAAAACGAAAUUAAAAUUAGAAUAGUAUGUUGAUGUUCUCACCUAAUUUGACAUUAUCAAGAGAGUUGAAUAUGGAUAUAAUGUCAUAUAAUGGUAGAAAACAAUGAAUUAAUUUAAACAACAUUUAUCAAUCAAAUCCAUCAAUCAGACCAUCAACUGCAAGUUAAUUUCAUGUGUUGAACUCAAUUAAACAAUACUGAACAACCAGAAUGUGAAAUUCAUGGUGAUCGCGACAAUAACAUAUUACCAGUUAUUGCUAGUACGUAUUAUGCAGUCAUUCUAAGUUGUUUUUCAGCUUACAACAUUUAUUUUGCUAAACUCUCAUCCUGAUGUUUUCUGCAGCUUUUACUUGAAACAAGUGUGGAUGUUCCUGAAAAAUAAAACAUGAUCAGCAAAAUCUAAACAACUUUUCCAAUAACCUUUAUUUAAAAACACUUUUCCAAUGAUCAAACAAUAUCCUCAAACCAAUUAAUUCCACUUUAUUAUUUCACCCUUUCAUUUUGAAUUCAAACAAAAGAUUAAUAAAAUAAAUCAACUGUGCUUUAUUCAUAAAUAUCAAACUAUCCCACAAUAAAUGCAUCAAAAUGAAAACAAAAAAGACAAUGCUUUUACCAUUGCUUCUCGAGCAGUGAGCCUGUCCUGAUGAUCAAUCAUAGCGAAGCAGCUUGUUAAGAAAAUCUAUGGCCUGUAUAUUUCUUUGAGUAAACAAGUGUUUAAAGGUUCGGAGUUUAACUAUUUGUUAGCUCAGGAGAAACUAAAUGUUGAUUGUCUCCAUUAAUGAAUUUGGACCAUGCUUUCCUGCUAUGCCUGGAAAUAUAUUAAUAUUAACAAACAUAUAUAUCACAUGUUUUCAUGUCUCCAAUUCUUUUAAUGAAUAUUUAUCUAUUUAAGAAAUUAAGAUAAAAACAGUAUAAUUCAAUAUCUCGUCGUCGUCAUCGUCGGAUCCAUCUUUAGAUUUGACUAUUUGAGUUUUUGACUAAUAAUUAUUUGAUGUUUUAUCUUAUUUAAAAUUUUAAAAAUUAUUUAAGAAUUAUUUGAUCAAAUUUUUCAUAUUAUGUAAAUAACAGAGUUUUUUAUGCAAAAUGUGAAAAAAAUUAUUAAACUCGAACACGACCAAACCCUACAUUCAAAUCGAGUUUUAUAAUUUUAGAUGUUCGCGAGUUUUGACUUGAACCCGAUUUUAAAACUUAGGUUCGAUUUUGGGUCAGGGCAAACCCAAGCCAUGCCCAUUCCUAAUUCAACUCUGAUGGAUCGUGGCUUACAAAUCGGGCGCUCACACACACACACACACACAAUUCUCUCUCUCAAGGAUUUAGUGUAUUCUCUCUCUAUUUUCCAGCCCGGCCCCUCCCUUGUUGGACCAGGGGAGGAAUUUAUAGGUUCAUCCCCGUGCCUCUUGGCUUAUAGACCUCCCUUGGCCCAGGCCCGUCGUGCGGUCGAGCCCGUGGUCGGUUCGGUCCAUGAUCCGUUGGACGGACCACGGCACCAACAAACUCAUAUUAUUAUUACCAUCAUACCAUUAAGGAUGAUUUUAUCGUUAAAUCCUUGUAGUGUUUUUAUUUUUACAUCGAAUUGACGAGUUUUAAUUUUAAUGGAAUGCUAGAGAAAGGAGACGGAUAGUUGAUAAAAUAUUUGUUUAGUAUUUGAAAGGUCAUGGGUUCAAUUUCCCAUGUAUCCAAAUAAUUAUUUCUUUUAAUUCGAGUCCAGACUCGUGGGCUCGAGUCUGACAAUUUUUAAAACGAGCCCGACCUCGACCAAACCAGGCUCGGCGAGCUCGAGUCCGAGCCUGGAUAAUUUCUUAAAGAGCCGAGCCCGAGCCUGACUUUAUAAGCAAAAGCUCGACUCGGCUCGUUUGACACCCUAGAGCCAGGGUAGUAGCUAUUACUGCAAUAUUAUAUGAGUACAUAAGUAGACAGAUAACCAGAAUAAAGGUUUUUUCCAGAAUAUUAAAAGAUGCAAGUCACACUGAUUUUUUUAAUCCAUAAUCUGUUGUUCUACACUUCAACAUCAUCUCAUUACAGAUUGCAAAUUUGCAAGGGGGUAUAAGAAGACGAAUCUGCACAUUAGUUUAGUAAUUGUAAUAAUUGUCAAUCAACUAAAAUCGGAAAGUAAAUCCUAAAUCAUAACUACUUACCAAAUCAACUAGCAUGGGGUUAAUUAUGAAUAUCCCUUAAACAUAAUAAAAUAUUAAAUGCAAUAUAUGGGGUGGACGUGCAUGGUGUGCAUUGAGAGUAAAUUUUUUAAUAAACGUACUCGUCUAACUUGGAUGUCUUUUUUGCUCGUUUGGCCAAGAAAAUAACAAGCUAUAUGCCAACAAAUUCGUUGAAUCGUCAAACUCAAUAAUAAUGCCAUAAGAUCGACAAUGAGUCAUGUUCAAAGAAAAACCUGUGGACCAUGGCUGAUUGACUAUUCCUUUAAAUGGUUCUUAAUUUAUAAGGGUGAGCCUGGGUCGGUUCAAAUCCGAACCCGGCGAAUCCGACCCGAACCCAAACAUGUUGGGUGUCGAACCCGAAUUUUUUUCACCCAAUUCAACCGAAACCUGAAUUUUUUUAUAAAAAAACCUUAAAAUAUAAAUAAUUAUAUAAAUAAAAUUUUAUUUUAUAUAAAAUAUUUUAUAAAAAUUUAAUAUACACAUUUAUUAAAUUUUUUUCUUCUUUUAAAAUCUAAACCCUAAUAUUAUUAUCAUUUUCCUAUAUAUUCUCUUCCAUUUUCAUCUUUCCUUUCCUCACCGUCGUUUUCGCCUAAUAAUUAUUUAAUAUUUUAAAAAUUAUUUGAUCAAAUUAUUUAAAUAACAAGGAUUUUUAUGCAAAAUUUUUAAAAAAUAUCAAAUCCGGCCCCGAACCCGACCAAAUCCGACAUCCAAUUCAGGUUCGGGUUAUAUAAUUUUAGAUGUUCCCGAUUUUGACUCGAACUCGAUUUCGGAUCAUGGCAAAUCCGACCCAUAUCCAUUCCUAGUUCUUUAUUCAUAGCUCACAUUUAUUUAAUCUUUUUUUUGUCGUUUUCUAUUAUUUAAUAACGUAGGAGUUAAGACCAAAUGGGCUCCGUAACUUUUCUCUCUCUCUAUAUAUAUAAAAUUGUUAUACCAGAGCCAAAUAAUAUAUUAUCGGAUAAAUCUAAUUGAAACGGAUAUCAAUUUUACUAUCUGGUUUGUAAUCAGGCAGAAACGGAUAUGUAUAUAGUAGUGAUAUUCGUCGUUAACUACCAAUAUAUAAACGUUAUAUGUAUAAAUUAAUAAAAUUAGAAUAGUUAAAUAUAAAAAUUUAAAUAACUCAUUCAAUAUUAAAUUAUUAGAAUUUAAACUCUCAUUUUCACAUUUAAAAUUUAUUUACAAUAUUCAACUUAGGGGUGGGACCCGAAUCUGAACAUAUUCAUUCCUAAUUCAACGACUCUUAUAUUAUUAUUACUAUCAUACCAUUAAGGAUAAUUUUAUAGUUAAAUCCUUGUAGUGUUUUAUUUUUACAUUAAAUUGACGAGUUUUAGUUUUAACGGAAUUCUAGAGGAGAAAGGAGACUAUGGAACAGGAACUAUCAGAUGAGAGCCAUAUAGGGGUAGUAGUCAUUUUUUGCGUUUUUCAAACUUAAAAUGAAAUUAUAUGAAAAUCAGUUGUUAAUAAUGAUACAGAUAAAUGAUUGUCUCAAUUAAACAUUUAAACCCUUAUAUAUCACUUCUAUGAAGGUUUUUAACUAUAAAUAAGGAAAAUUAUAUAUUGAUAUAGUUCGUAUACUUAUAAUCGAAAGUCAAACUCAAUAAUAAGGCGAAAGAAGACGACUGGUUCAUUUUUUAUGUGCGUCACGUAGGACCAUCUAGACACGGAGAAUGACGUUAUGUGGUUGGUUGAGUGAUCAAGUUGCGUGGAUGGUUGGAAAUUAUAAUGGAUAAUAAAAAUAAUAUUCCCUAAAUUCAAUUAGAUCCUUAUCCUAAUUUAAAUCAGUUUAUUUCAAUCACUUAAUUUUAUUUUUUUCAAUGCAUCAACGGACCAAAUUAAACGUUUCCAAUUAUAAAGAAAGAUCAAAUUUGACCACCGGUUCCGAAUAUUGUCAUUCUACCUUUCAAAAUUUCUUCUCCGCAAACGAUCGAAGCCAUGGAAUCGGUGCUAUCAUUUCCUCUGGGAGAGGCCUCAAAAAGUCUCAUGAAAACUCUGGGGGCGGAAAUCACACUCAUAAAAAAUGCUCCGGACGAAUUGGAAAACCUGAAAAGACUCAAGACUGUCAUCGCCAAUGUUCAACAAGACGUUGCCGGCCAGGAAUUAAGCCAACAACAUGCUGGUUGGCUCGAUGAGAUGAUUGAUGCUGCGUAUGAUAUCGAGGAUAUCAUAGAUCUGUCUAGUACAGAGAUUCUUCGACGGAGAAGCUACAACAACAGGAAAUUAACUCGUUAUACCUGCCGGGUAAUUGAUUUUUUUUCUUACACCAACAAUCCUCUUAUUUUUCGCCACAAAAUAGGAAAAAGUGUGCAAAAAACAUUCGCUAGAUUGGCUAAUAUUGCGAAAGAGAAGGGAUACCAUCUUACUCUUAGCGGGAGGGAUGGAGUGGAAAAUCUGAGUACAAAGAUGCCAGAGACCUUUUCUGAAAUGGGUGGGGAUGUUGUACUGGGAAGAGAUCAUGAUCUCAAAAUUAUACUUGAACAAUUAUUGUUUAAAGAGGAAACAAACAUCGAGGUGCUUGUUUUAGUCGGAAUGGGUGGUGUUGGGAAGACUGCACUUGCAAAACUAGUGUACAAUAAUAGUCAAGUAGAUGCUCUCUUUGGUGAAAGAAAGCUUUGGGUUUGCGUAUCAGAAAUUUUUGAUCUGUCGAAAAUUUGCAAACAUGUUAUUGAGCAAAUAGAUGGAGAGUGUAAAGUCAAAGGAUUGCAAGCGUUGAGCAAGAAAUUAAAAGAGCUUUUACAAACAAACAUAUAUUUAUUAGUUUUGGACGAUGUUUGGACCAAUUCAAGUUUAACUUUGGAUUCUUGGUCGAAUAUGAAAUUAUUGUUUCAUAAUUGUAAGAUUCUGCUAACAACUCGUGAGGAGAAUGUAAAAUCUGUGAUUUUACCAGAACCCUACAUGCAUCGUGUGGGAUGUCUACCUGAGGAUGCUUCCUGGUCAUUGUUCAAGAAUAUUGCAUUUUCCAAUGGUAACGUUCCAGAGGAAUUGAAAGACAUCAGCAAAAGUAUUAUGAAAAAAUGCAAAGGUGUACCUCUAGCUGUGAGGGUUCUUGGUAGCAUGAUGCGUAAAAAAAAUUUUAUUUACUGGAAAGAGAUUGAGAAAAACAAUAUUUUUGAUCCUAAUAUUGAAGGUGAAAAUAGAAUAUUCUCAAUUCUAAAAUUCAGCUAUCAUAAUCUUCCUUUAAAGUCAAAGUUUUGCUUUGUCUACUGUUCUAUUUUCCCCAAAGAUUCGGAUAUAGAGAAAAUAGAAUUGAUCCAACAAUGGGCAGGCAAUGGUUUUAUUUCGCUUAACGAGGGAAAUAAGAUUUUCGAAGAUUUAUUGUCAAGAUGUUUCUUCCAAGAUGUCGAGAAAGAUGUUUACGGAAGCAUUACAACAUUUAAAAUGCAUAAUUUAAUCCAUGACCUUGCUGAAGCGAUUGCUAAGUCUCUGCAGUAUGGAAUCUUCGAUGACAGUAUUCGAGAUAGAAAGCAAGUUCGUUAUUUAUCGAUGAUAUUAAACAUGGGAGAAGAAGUUUCUUAUUCAGAUAUUUCAAUCAAAUUGAAAGAUGCAUGUGUAUUACGAACAUUGCAGUCUUCAUCUUCUGAUAUAGUAAGUGAGAAAUUUCUGGAUAAUUGCUUCACCAAGUUCAAAUUCUUGCGGGUUUUGGUUUGUAGUGGUCAGUAUAAGCUUAAACAUGUUCCAGCUUCCAUCGACAACCUCAAGCUUCUGAGAUACGUUGACUUCUCUUAUAUGGGCAUAACAAGACUCCCAGAAACGAUAUGCAACCUUCCAAAUUUACAGACGUUGAAAAUCAACUAUUGCUUUAAUCUUACUGUUUUGCCAAAGAAGUUGAGAAAAUUAUCCGAGUUAAGGUAUUUGGAAAAUGAUAGAUGUAUUGGUUUGGAUUCAAUGCCUGUUGGGAUAGAUCGCUUGAGUCUUUUGCAAACAUUGAAUACUUUCGUAGUGAAUGAUGGAGGAACAAAUUUAAAUGAAUUAAGACAUCUGGAUCAUCUAAAAAGAAGUCUUUGUAUACGAAAUCUUGACAGAAUUCAAAAUGUUGUUUUGGAAAAUGGAAUAUUAAAUAGAAAGAACAAUCUUGCAUCAUUGGAGCUGUUAUGGAGAUUGCAGGAAGAAAAUGAAGUAACGAAUCAGAAUGAUGAAAAAGUAUUACAAGCUUUACAACCACAUCCCAAUUUGAAAUCUUUAAAUAUAACCAGGUUUAAUGGAUUCUUCAUUCCCUUAGACAUGAGUUGUCUCCAAUCCCUUAUCUACAUGAAGAUUUCUGAUUGUAAAAACCUUACCACUCUUCCCAACGACAUAUGUUCUUUCCAAUCCCUUACACAUUUAAAGAUUAAAAAGUGUUACAACCUCACCUCUCUUUCCAACGACAUGUGUUCUCUCCAAUCCCUUACACAUUUAAAGAUUAAACAUUGUUACAACCUCACCUCUCUUCCCAACGACAUGUGUUCUCUCCAAUCCCUUACACAUUUAAAGAUUUCUUAUUGUCGAAACCUCACUACUCUUCCCAACGACGUGUGUUUUCUCCAAUCCCUUACACAUUUAAAGAUUUCUGAUUGUCGAAACCUCACCACUCUUUCCAACGACAUGGGUUGUUUCCAAUCCCUUACACAUUUAGAGAUUUCUUCUUUUGAAAACCUUACCUCUCUUUUCAACGACAUGAGUUUUCUCCAAUCCCUUACACAUUUAAAGAUUAAAGAUUUUGAAAACCUCACCUCUCUUCCCAACGACAUGGGUUGUCUCCAAUCCCUUACACAUUUAGAGAUUUCUUCUUUUGAAAACCUUACCUCUCUUCCCAACGACAUGAGUUCUCUCCAAUCCCUUAUACAUUUAAAGAUUAAAGAUUUUGAAAACCUCACCUCUCUUCCCAACGACAUGGGUUGUCUCCAAUCCCUUACACAUUUAGUGAUUGUUCAUUGUCAAAAUCUUACAUCUCUUCCCAACGACAUAUGUCGUCUCAAGUCCCUCACUACUUUAACAAUUAAAUCUUGUCCAAGUUUGGUUGAUGUUUCUUUUUCUUUGGAAUAUCUUACUUCUCUAAAAGAAAUAGAAGUGGCCGACUGUGAUCAAUGGAUUAGAAAUUGGUCUGACGAUGCAAUAAGCAGAAUUUGCUCAGUUGAAAAACAUUCAUGGAUUUCGAUAUGCAGUAAGGAUGAUGAUUUAUUGUCUAGAUGGUUACGAAAGAAGAUCAAUUCCACCAAAAUAUUAGAUAGAUUGCAUAUCAACGGUGGCCAUGGAAACAAUAAUUUUUCUUUAAUGUACGUGCCACACGAGCUCAGUAUUUGUUGUUUUAAACAAAAGAAAUUGCCAGAAGAGUUGGUGCAUGUUCAGGAUCUUAAAUAUUUGUGCAUUGAAAAUUGUCCAAAUAUAAGUUACUUGCCGGAUGGGAUGAAAAAACCACAGUUUUUGUGGAUUGAAGAUUGCCCAAUGUUGGAGAGGUAUUGUAAAAAAAGACGUUACAAGUAUGAUGAUUAUAAUUAAUUCUUCACUUAAUCCAAGAAGAGCUAGCAGAUUUUAUCUUGAUGAACAUAUUUCUACCACAACAAUUCCAAUGGUAAAACUUCGUUUUUUUACUCAUUGUGUUUUAACAGGAUUUUUUGGAACUGUUUGUAAUUAGUUGAUUUUUUCGGAACUGAUAGAUUUUCUACCGGUUACAUAUACUCCUUACUAUCGGACCUGGUUCGUAUUUCUUCAUCAGCGGUGUUUCCACACAUUGCAAAAAAGGACAGAAGAUGAUCGUCAAGGUUUGAUCUACUUAUAUUAACCAUGUUCCGUCAGAAUCUCCAUCAGAAUCGCCGUCUUCGUUUCUUACAAAUCGAACUGACUCCACUCCUGCAUCUUCUCCUGAAACGCCGAAGCCGAAGUCCAACGAUGUUGUUGCGACUAACAUCUUCUUUGCAUUGUCGCCUCUUUGUGCGGUCUUGUAUCUUUCUUCUUUCUUUGAUUGUUGUAGAAUCUAUUUUUGUUUGAUUGUUGAAUAAUCUUUUUUUUAAACUUUCUUUCUGCUACGACUCCCUGAGCAUAGUGGAUCUGCUACGACUCUCUGAGUCUUACACUUGAAAUGAUUUCUAUAAACUUGAUUAAAUGGAAUACUAAGAUUCUCUGCAUCACUUAUACCAUAUUUUCAAAUAGCGUUUUGCCCUAGCCGGAUCUGAGUACGGAUCUGCUCCAAUAUCAUUGAUUUUUUUUAAUCUGUUUUAAAAAUAGAUUAGGGCUCCCAAUGGUCAUACUCUCCUUCUUCCUCCACCAGUCAUCCUUCUUCCAUUGGCUAGGCUUCCUCCAACCAGCGACCUUCUUCUCUGGUGACCUCAGGUGACAUCCAGGGAACAGUUUUUUCCGACCAGAACUUUCAUUUUUGUAGGAACAUCAUUUCCUUGAGUUUUUCUGUUUUUUGUAACUACUAUUAUAUAUAUGAGGAUUAUUUUUGGGUAGCCCCUUAAACUUAUUUUUGGAUGCCCCAAUCAUAAACCAACGAAUGAUGAUUAUCAAAUGGCGGGAAGAGGUAUUUAAUUGGGUUUUGAAAAUCAAAUUGGUCUCAAUCUUUAUUUAUAAUUAUUUUAUAUAUAUUAUCAUGGUUUAAAUCAUAUCUUAUCUUCCAAUUCAGCUGCGUUUUACAAACUUGGAUGAUAUCUACUUGUUCAAUUUCAUCUAUCUUCGGAAGUGAAAGACAAAGUAGUUGAGUUAAUGGUUUGAUCAGGUCGUAUAUUAAUUUCAACUUUGAUUUUUUCCCAAAGAGAUUCCUUUCAUUUUAGCCGAUGAGGAUCAGAAUCUCUAGUAAAUAUCACAUAAAUGGUUGGCCAAUGUUGAUUGUCUCCAUUAAUGAAUUUGGACCAUGCUUUCCUGCUAUGCCUGGAAAUAUAUUAAUAUUAACAAACAUAUAUAUCACAUGUUUUCAUGUCUCCAAUUCUUUGUUAAUGAAUAUUUAUCUAUUUAAGAAAUUAAGAUAAAAACAGUAUAAUUCAUUAUCUUAUACCUCCCAACAAGUGUUUGAAGUUGAGGAUCGAUCAAGCUCCAAAUGGUAUUUUUUAGAUAAGAAUCUAGUUCAUCUGUUCCAAGAACCUGAAAAAUAAAAUAGGAACGUACAUGGUUUUUUGUUUGAUCGAUAUACAAAGAGCUAAAAAACUUCAAUCAUUUAAUUAAAGCAUACCACCAGAUGACAAUCGAUGAUAAAUCACAAAGAAUUAACGAUAGAAUUCAUUGAUGGGAAUAAGAGAGUGCUGCUACAGGGAGAUCCCUAUCUGUCGGAAUCAGAAAUUAUGUACAAAAUCGAGUUUUUUUGUUGUCUCCAAAACUACUAGUUAUUGUAUUUAUCUACCGUGGGAUGUUUAUUUGAAAUCUGUCUAUCUUGGUGUAGACGUAUGUCUAUGGUGAUCUCUAUCGCUGUGGUGAUCUCUAUAGACGUACUAGCAGAUUUCUAGUCCUAAUAGCCCACCUCCCCGCAGUGCACACCAAGAAGUUGCUUGGAAGGAUCAUCUAUAUAUGUUUGGUAAGUUAAGUUGUACUUGAAGUGCUAUUAUUUAAUGACAUGAACAUAUUAUUUAAUCAAAUUAAGUUGUAAUAUAUAAAUAAAUACCACUAAGUGAAUUUUAAAAUGCUUAAUUCCCUUAACCCAACUUCCGUUUCUCAAUCUCUACAUGGUAUCAAAGCCUUCUAAGGCUCCAAUAACACCAAGCUCCCACUGAAGUACAACAUAAACUCUGUCUUCCGAACGGCGAUGGAAAAGCUCGACUAUACUUGCUGGCACUCUCAGUUUAAGACAGUCCUCGAGCUCCAUGAGCUCACACAGAUUGUGAAGGAGGACCCGCCAUCGACGGAAGAAAGCCUUGACUACGAGGACUGGCGACAUGCUGACCGGUUGGUCAUGACUUGGAUUAAGUUCACCGUCGCCACUUCCGUCCAGCAGAUGAUUGUUUCCUGCAAAAUGGCCAAGGAGGCAUGGGAUCGAUUGGAGAAGUUUCUCUCCCCACUGUGCGUGAUUCACGUGAAGAAUCUUCGCAAUAACAAGUUGUGCACGGCCAAGAAGACCCCUGAGAAUUCUAUGACGGAUUACUUAGUCAUGAUUCGCACCACUGCUGACGCUCUAGCCACGGCAGGCUCACCAGUCCCGGAUGAUGAUAUUGUAGGCUACACGCUUGAUGGACUCGACUUCAACUAUAUAAGGAUCCAGUCGACGUUGCAACUCCAACCAGGUCUGACGUUUGAUGAACUUCUGUCCUUACUAAUCCGCGAGGAGGAUUCGAUUCAGAGGAACCAACCACCUGAAACACCGGCGGCACUAUAUGCACGAAACAACGCUCCACGAACAGGGGAGUCUGGACGUGACAAGAGUCGCAACCGAGGUCGUGACAGAAAGGGAAAAUCGAAUCGCUAUAAAGGAAGUAGGACCGACGACAAAUCAAAAACCGUUGAAGAACACACUGCUGCUCCUCCCACUGGAUCAGGAACGACUCCACCGCUGCUACCAACACCGACGGCGAUGCAAUUUUCCGGCCCAUGCCAAAUCUGCGCGCGAUUCGGACACCACGUGAGAGCUUGCCCAGACAGGAACAAUCAUGUGUUUGUUGCAGAUUCUACAACCUCUGGAAUGUCUGCCCUCUCACUAUCUGGUCCAAUCUCAGGGGAAAGUUCCACUUCUGGGUCAUCUGCAGGCGACUGGCGCCUUGACUCGGGAGCCACGCACCACAUUACUCCGUCGUCGUCUGCCCUGACUCAACCUCGCCGGUACAAUGGUAAUGAUCGAAUUUUAAUAGGAGAUAGAUCAUCUCUUCCAAUUGCCCACUCGGGCACUAUUGAUGUACGCACGGAGGAUGGUGAGAUUCGACUCACCAAUACCCUCCACGUACCUGGACUAUAUCGAAACCUUCUAUCCAUGAAGUGUCUCGCCACUGACCUGCAAGCUUUCAUUCUUAUUGACGAAUUUGGUUUCACCGUGAAGGAGAAAGCGUCCGGGAGGACGAUCGCUCGUGGACUUAAUAACAAAGGAAUGUACCACUUGUCCGGUCGACACUUUAGAGGUGCGGCGAUGACAGGGGUGGGGUACACACAAGUGUGGUCGGGUGGCACCACAGGCUCGGCCAUCCAUCUGAUACCGUCCUAAAGAAAGUUAUCUCGCUCGUUCCAGUUCGUGGCCCUUCGCGACUGCAAUUUUGUCAAGUUUGUGCCUUGAACAAAGGCAGACGACUGUCGUUCUCCACGAGGUCCUCCACUGCCUCUCGGCCACUGGAAGUGUUACAUCUCGAUUUGUGGGGACCGGCGCCGGUGGUCUCUAAGGAGGGAUACAAGUUUUAUUUCAGUAUUGUUGAUGAUUUUUCCCGAUUUUCUUGGAUUAUGCCUAUGGCGUUUAAAUCAGAAUGCUAUGCCUAUUUCUCUAAAUUUGUUCGUCGAAUUGAAAAUCAACUUAUUCACAGAGUAGUAUGGGUUCAAUGCGACGGGGGUGGGGAGUUCAUCAACAUGGAAUUCACAAACUUUCUGGUAUCUAAAGGGAUAUAGAGACGAAUCUCGUGCCCACAUACGCCGCAGCAGAACAGCGUCGUCGAGAGAAAGCACCAGCAUCUAGUCCAAAUUGGAAGGUGUCUACUGAACAAUUCCGGCAUUUCUCAUCUGUACUAGACACAUGCGUUCCAGAGUGCGGUAUUUAUUGCCAACAGACUACCGACUCCUGUCCUCGGCAAGACGAGUCCGUUUGAAAAAUUGUUGAAUCGAAUGCCGGAUUAUAGCAUACUUCGUAAUUAUGGGUGUUUGUGUUUUCCACUAAUUCCAAAUUAAAAGCGAUGCGGAGCAAGCUCGACACUACGUCCAGACCGUCGUGUUUCAUUGGCUACGCCAAUGAAUAUAAGGGCUACAUUUGCUUAGACCCGAUCACCGGGAAAAUUGUGGUGUCGUGGCAUGUUCUAUUCGAGGAGAACACUAUGCCGUUUCAUCUCAAACAAAGUACAGAUGAGACCAGCAACGGCUCGGAUGAGCUGUUUUGUUUGUUGCAGAGUCUCCCAGUCGUCACUGACAACUCACCAACAUCACACAGUCACAGAGCAGACUACACCCGAUAAUUCGAGCUCCAGUCUCUAUGCUCCCGAGACUGUACCGUCUCACAUGAUCUCUGACCCAAGAUCGUCCUCGACUGAAGCAGUAUCGUCUGUCGAUAGAACAGUACCCCCAUCGACGCAUCUAUCAGCAGGCACGCUGAAGAGAUCGCAACGUACGUCGCAGCGACCGAUACGCUUCAGAGAUUUCGUAGUCGACCUUCCCAAGGAAGCCCACAUAUAAAGAAUAUCCGCGAUUUCCGACGUCGACAAACCAACUGACAUCAAGCAGAUCAGAGAGCCGCGAACAGUCCGAGAGGCCGUACUCGACCCACAAUGGGUGGCAGUGAUGGAAGUCGAACUCGAAGCGUUAUCGCGGAACAACACGUGGGACUUAGUCCGGCCUUCUCCACGUAUGAAUAUCGUCGGAUGCCGAUGGGUUUUCAAACUCAAAGAAAAGGCCCGCUUAGUCGCGAAGGGCUUCCAUCAACGAGAAGGGCAGGACUUCGAUCUUACAUACAGCCCUGUAACCAAAGCGGCAACAAUCAGAACCAUCCUCGCCUUGUCCACGGCCAAGGGAUGGCCGUUGCAUCACCUGGAUGUUUGCAACGCGUUUUUGAAUGGAAGGCUCACUGAAGUCGUGCACAUGUCACAGCCGCCGGCGUUCAUAAACAAAGAAUUUCCCAAUCACGUUUGUCGCUUGAACAGGGCUCUGUAUGGCCUCAAACAAGCACCACGAGAGUGGUACCGGCGCCUGAGUACCUUCCUCAAAAGGAUUGGAUUCGUCAAUAGUCAGGCAGACUUUUCGCUCUUCAUUCGCCGAUUCGUUCUGCAGUGUGUAUAUGUGCUGGUAUACGUGGACGAUUUCAUCAUCACCGGGAGUCACCCAGCAGAGAUUAAAUCGUUUAAGCGUACGGUAUGCAACAAAUUUCAGUGCCUAUAUCUGGGAAGUCUGUCAUACUUCCUUGGAUUGGAAGCCAACAUUGCGAACGGAAAUCUACUAAUCACUCAGAGGAAAUACUCGAUGGGGCUACUCCAACGAUUUGGGCUAGUCGAAAGUAAACCUAUUGCUACACACGAGGCUCCGGGAAAGCAUCUAUCCAAGGAUGGCGGUGAAUUAUUCGACGAUCCCCAAAGGUAUCGAAGUCUUGUAGGCGCCCUACAAUACCUGACGCUGUCGAGACCGGAUAUCGCUCAUGCCGUCAAUCAAGUUUGCAAGUAUAUGCAACAUCCUACUGCCGAUCACUGGAAGGCUGCCAAGCGAAUUCUCCGGUAUAUUAAAGGCACGCUCCACAUGGGUCUGGAAUUUCGUUCCUCGAAGUCGACUGAUCUCCAGGUAUACGUCGAUUCGGAUUGGGCCGGCGAUCCAGAUGAUGGAGGUCGACGACAGGGUCCUGCAUUUUUCUUGGACCAAAUCUGGUCACCUGGAUGUCGCAUAAGCAACCCACGGUGUCGCGAUCUUCGGCGGAGGCCGAAUACCGGGCUAUUGCCUAUGCGACUGCAGAACUCCGUUGGUUAUGCCAACUACUACGAGAAUUGGGAAUUCACCUACCGCGGUCGAUUCUGAGCGACAGUAAAUCGGCUAUGUUCAUGGUGAACAAUCCGGUUGUGCAAGCAAGGACGCGACAUAUGGAGAUCGACUACCAUUAUGUCCGCGAAUUUGUGGCUAACAGAUCCCUUACAGUACAACACAUUUCAAGUGCAUUUCAGAUCGCUGAUCUGUUCACGAAGGCACUGUCCACGGAUCUGUUUCGCCGGCACCGGCGUCGACUCAAUCUCGUCGACGUUUCGCCGUCGUGAUUUAAGGGGAGUAUUGGAAUACAGAUAAUGUUAGGGUCAUUAUAGAUAUUCAUACAAUCAAUGUACUAUAAAUACAGCACAUAGGCAUGCUGUAAUCUAUACGAAGUAUAAUACAGAGCAUCCCUUAACCCAACUUCCGUUUCUCAAUCUCUACAUUAAUCACCCUUGAAAAUUUCUUAAGGUGUUUCCUUUAAAUCGUCUGUUUCUGAAUUUGAAUGUUAUCAAUUUCAGUAUUCUUUAUUUCUUUCUUUCAUCUGUUAUAUUAUAUUUUCUCUAUAGGAGGUGAAUUUACAUCCCCAAACCAAGAACGUUUUCAUCACUACAAGGUAUCUCUUUUUAAUAUUAUGUGGUAGCAACAUGAAUCAUUAAUUCUCAUUCUUAAUCAUCAUACUGUGUGAAAUUGGAAAUCGAAGAAAAUCUAUUUUAUGCAAUCAAUCAUUCAUAUAUAAAUAAUGUUAUGAUCAAUGGCAACAUACCCAAAUUUACUAUAAAGAAUGUGCCAUAUUAUUCUUAACCAUUUUGACAGUUUAUGUUUUAUUUUAUACUGAAUUACUACUUUCAAAACAGCUUAUGCUUUUUUUUCUUGAUUGCAUAGGAUUUUUGGACACUGAAUCUUAAAACAAACCAAUGGGAACAACUACUUUUGAAAGGAUGUCCAACUGCACGCUCAGGACAUCGCAUGGUAUGUCUCUUUUUAUUUGCUACUUUAGUGCUUACACCAGUGGUAAGUACUUGCCUAUUCCAUAAUUCCCUUUUUACUUUCAUUUUUAUAAUAGUUGAUUGGAAAAUAAAUAAUGUUAAAUCUUACAUAGGUUAAACAUUCCUAAUUCACAUAGUAUAUUGAUGCAAUACAAAGUGGUCUUGGUUAUGCAUCCAAGGACUUAAUUGGAAAUGACCAAGUGGAAGGUAAUUGGCUUGACCAAGGUCAAGCCAAUUCAUAUCAUUUUUAGGGAAUAUUUAACUCACAUUAUUGGGUUGCUCAUUACCAAUAAUGUGAGUAUAAAUACAAUGGGCCCUUGAGAGGAAGAUCAGUUUAGAAUAUUGUGCAAACAAGGUAUUACCUUAAUUACUCCUCUCUCUCAUUGCUGAAUAUCUUCUACUUCUUCUUGCUUUUCUUACCACUACCUUCACUAUUAUUCACUGUUCUUAGAUCUAGAUCAAAAACUUGGUGGAUUCCAAGCCCCGAUUUGGUCAUUGUGAGGAAGAUAUCCAUCUUCAUCACUGUUUUCGUUUGUCUACUGCAUUGGAGAGUUUCCAACUACAUCAGGUGGUAUCAGAACUUGGUUAGUGAUCGGAAGCUCUCCAAAUCAUGGUUGAUGAUCAUGUGUCGUGCCAAGAAUGCGAAGCUACGACGAAAGCCAUUGCAGAUCUUACUACUGCAAUGCGAGAAGAAUUUCAGGAGUUAAGGAGAUCCAUUACAGCUCCGGGAGAACCGAUGGUGACUGCUGACGGUCGCCCACUACCUGAUCGGAGGCAUCUGGAUCCGUCGUCCACUGUCUUAGAACCACCAGCGGGUGUGUAUCAACGUUGGCCAAUAGAAGAUAACCUGUCUGCACUUAUCAGAGAAGGAACAAAAUGCAGAUAGAUGGGGGUCGACGUUCGCCGGAACCAGUAGCGCCGUUCUUUCCUCGCCGGCCGGUGGACCUUCCGAUAAACACUUAUCAGAGGAGAGGUAAUAAUCUUACUAAUCACUUAGAUCAGUUUGCAGAAUUGUUUGAUGAUGAAUAUGAAGAUGUUGAGUAUAUGCCACCAUGAACCAACCAAAGAAGGCAGCAAUAUCAGAGGAUGAGAAGAGAAUUCACUGAUGCGAACGAUUGUGGAAUUGUGGAUCAGAGGCAAUACCCGAGGAGGCAAGGGCAGUUCAAGCUGAAGAUGGAUAUUCCAUCAUUUAAUGGGACUGCCCAUAUUGAGGAGUUUCUGGAGUGGUUAGUAGAGGUAGAGCGUUUCUUUGACUAUAUGGAUAUAGAUGAGGAUCAACAGGUAAAAUUGGUGGUGCUGAGGUUCAAGGGCGUGGCUUCUACCUGGUAGACUACCACUAAUAUAAAGAGAGCUAACCAAAGACCAGUCCGCACUUGGCAAAAACUAAAAAAAUUGCUUAAACAAAGAUUUUUGCCAAGCGAUUAUGAGGGAGUAUUAAUUACACAGUACCAUCAGUGCUGCCAGGGAGUAUGUGACAUAAUCAUUGACAAUGAAUCAACGGAUAAUUUAAUCUCUUGGAAGGCUGUAAAGAAGUUAAAUUUGACACUGGAAGAUCACCCUAAACCUUAUAGUGUCUCGUGGAUCCACAGUGGAAGUUCAGUCACAAUCAACAAGAGUUUUAAGGUCCCACUGUCAAUUGGGAGAAGAUAUAAGGAUGAAAUCACUUGUGAUGUGGUUAAUAUGGAUGCGGCACACGUAUUGUUAGGUAGACCAUGGCAGUAUGAUGUGCUUGCACAUUAUAAUGGGAGGACUAAUCAGUACAUAAUUAAGGUGGAAGGACUGAAAGUGGCUCUACUACCAUUGGCACUUGAAAAAAAUCAACCAUCUGAGAAGCCAAAUUUGUUAGUCACAACACAUGGGGAUUUUAGGAUGACACUUGCUGAAAACGGUACUGGGUUAGCACUGAUAGUGAAAGAAAUCACUGAAAGUAAAAUAAUCUGUAUUCCUACUGCAAUAUCAGAAUUAUUAAAGCAGUUUCCUAGUGUCACUGAAGAAGAACUGAAAGUUCUACCACCACACAGAGCUAUUGACCACAGGAUUGACCUUAACCCUGGAGCCUCAUUACCAAAUUUACCUCAUUACAGAAUGAGUCCAGUAGAAUCUGAAAUAUUUUAAAAUCAAGUAGAGAAAUUGAUGAAGGAAGGACUGAUCAGACCAUCCAUUAGUCCUUGUGCAGUUCCAGCCUUAUUGGUACCCAAAAAAAAUGUGAGUGGAGAAUGUGUGUUGAUAGCAGAGCUAUCAACAAAAUCACAGUGAAAUAUAGAUUUCCUAUACCAAGGUUGGGGGAGUUGUUGGAUGUGUUGCUAGGAUCUAAAUAUUUUACAAAAUUAGAUCUAAAAAGUGGUUAUCACCAAAUAAGGAUAAAAGAAGGGGAUGAGUGGAAAAUUGCCUUCAAAACCAGCAAGGGAUUAACAAAACGGUGGUGGUUUACUUUGAUGAUAUAUUAAUAUACAACAAAGAUAAAGAAACACAUAUUGAGGAUAUAAGCAAAGUAUUACAGUUACUGAAUGAAAAUCAUUUGAAAUUGAAUUUACAAAAAUGUGAUUUUAUGGUUCAUGAAGUGCAUUUUUUGGGAUAUAUAGUUAGUGCUAGUGGACUGAAAGUGGAUCCUGCAAAAACAGAAGCAUUGAGAAGCUGGCUGUCUCCAACCAAUGUAACUGAAGUAAGGAGUUUCUUGGGGUUGGCCUCUUUUUAUAGGAGGUUCAUCAGGGACUUUUAAGUGGUCUUAGUUAUGCAUCCAAGGACUUAACUUGGUGGCCAUGAUAGUAUUAUUGAAGUUACUCAUUCUAUGAGCCAGAAUCUUUCUAUCAAUGAUUGUGUAGUUACUGAUAGAAAUACAAUUCAAACAAAUGGAAAUUUUAAACCCCGAGUGUGCUCAUCAAAUGAGGUCAGUUGCAGUAAAGUUUAAUGCCAUUUUAUUAUUGGUGUAUUACUCUACCAUAACAAUUCAAUUUUAGGCAGUGAAACCUUGUGGACGUAUCAAUUCUUGUAUGUUUGUUGGAAGAGAUACAUUAUAUCUUUAUGGAGGUAUGAUGGAAAUCAAAGAUCAAGAAAUCACACUUGAUGAUCUUUAUACGUUAAAUCUUAGUAAACUUGACGAAUGGAAGUGUAUCAUACCGGUAUAUUUAAAUUUCAGUCUUUCAUUUGCUACUUUAAAGCAUAGAUUAAAAAGCGACGCUUAAAGCGUCGCUUUAAUAGCUUAAAGCGGAAAAGCGCUCCUGGAGGAGCGCUUUCCAAAUCGCUUUUUUUAAGCGGGUGAGUGGAUCGGGUUAGUGGGUUUCUACCCAUCACCAGGCAGUAGAAGCUUAGAGAAGGGAGGAGGAGAAAGAUAUGUAAGCUGCAGUAGAAGCAAACUCUUCAAACAGAUUUCUUCCUCUUUUAUAGUUGCUGGAAGUUUCUCAUGGUCCAGCACCUGUCUGGCCAGGUGUCUUCCCAAAUUAGACACCUGGUUGGUUUGUUACACCUAUAAAUAUUACACAUAUAAAUUACACCUAUAAAUUACACCUAUAAAUAUUCAUCACCUGGUUGGUUUGUUAAACGGUGUAACAAGUUAUAUUACACCUAUAAAUAUUACAUGUUUACUGUAAUAGGAAAUGAUAAAAAAAUACCCUAAAAAUAGCUUAUAAAUAGGAAAUGAUAAAAAAUACGUGUAGUAAGAUAACAUUUUCAGCAAGGUGGAAAUGUUAUUUUACACAUUUUACUACACGUUUGCAGUAAGAUAACAUUGGGUCUUGUGUUUUCAUCAUUCUAUUAGCUACCUGUCUGCAAAUUAUAUGAAAAGUUUAUGUAAUUUCAUCAUUCUAUUGGGUCUUGUAUUUUAAGCAAGUUGCUCUAAGUUUUCGAAAUUUAAUCCAAAAAAUUAAAAAUAAUUUGGAGAUGGCCAAAGAAAGAAAUCUAUUAUUAGAACAUGGUUAUAAAAACAAUAAUGACCAUGAUAAUGACAAAAACAGGGAUUCUUGUAGUGUUUUAUUUUUACAUCGAAUUGAAGAGUUUUAGUUUUAACAGAAUGCUAGAUGAGAAAGGAGACGGAAAAGACAGAUGAGUAUGAACGAAAGCCUCUUUGGAUUAUAGAUUGAAAACUAUAUAAAGGGUAAAAGCUAGCCUUUUUUUUGCGUUUUUCAAAUUUAAAACGAAAGUAUUUGAAAAACAAAUGUUAAUAAUAAUAUAGAUAACUGAUUGUCUCAGUUAAACCUUUGUAUAUCACUAUUAUGAAGGUUUUUAACUGAAAAUAAGUAAAAUUAUAUAUUAAUAUGACCCGCCAAACUCAAUAAUAAAGCCAUAAGAGCACAUGAGAGGGUAGAGUGAGAGACGGAAGAAGAUGACUGACUCAUUAUACCCGUCAAACAUGUCGGGUCUAGGUUCGGGUGGAUAUUUUCAGCUAUGAAAUCUGUUGAACCUGAAUUUUUUUCACCCGAUUUUUUCGAGUUCGGGUUGAAAUUUUUUUAUUAAAAAAACCUUAAAAUAAUUGUCGAGCUCGUGAGCUUCGAUCUUGAGUCUGGACAAUGCCUUAACGAGUUCGAGCCCGAGCCUGAAUAAUUCUUUAACGAGUUGAGCUCGAGUCCGAAUCCGGCUCUAUAAGCAAAAGCUUGGCUAGUCUUGUUUGACACUCUAGCAGUAGCUAACCUUUUUUUACGUUUUUCAAACUUAAAACGAAAGUAUUUAAAAAACAGCUGUUAAUAAUAAUAUAGAUAAAUGAUUGUCUAAGUUAAACCUUUGUACGUAUAUCACAAUUACAAAGGUUUUUAACUGAAAAUAAGUAAAAUUAUAUAUUAAUAUGAGUAUAUGACCCGUACUGUAUAAAUGAAAAUAACAAGCUGUAAUUCGUUCGAACGUCAGACUCAAUAAUAAGGGAAAGUAGAUUGAAAGACGGAAGAAGAUUCGUUAGUUUUUUGUCAUUUUCUAUUAUUUAAUAACGGUGGUUUAAUUAAUUGAAACAUAUUCGUUGGGAUUAUUCACCAAAUAAGAUUCCAUCGAUCUCAACUUUCAUUGUUUUCUUCAACAUUUUCAUACGGAAGUAUUAUAAAUUGCUGGUUGUUCAUGAAAUCAGAAAUCUUAUACAUGUUUUAAAUUAUUUGUCACCAUUUUAAAUUGAUUUCUUCUGAUGACAGAUAACCUAAAAUUUUCUAUUCAUGCUGCAUUAUGUCAGUUUUUGGAUAGAUCGACCGUGAGUCAUGUUCAAAGAAAAACCUUUGGGUGAUGGUUGAUUCGCUGUUCAUUUAAAUGAUUCUUUAUUCAUGGCUCACAUUUAUUUAAUCUCUAUAUAUAUAUAAUUACUCCGUCGAUAGUAUAGCUCUGUCUCUACUUCCAAAAUUCCGAACAUUGUCAUUCUACCUUUCAAGAUUUCUUCUCCACAACCAAUCGAAGCCAUGGAAUCGGUGCUAAUAUCAUUUAUUCUGGAAGAGGCCUCAAAACAUUUGAUCAAAGUUCUGGGGGCGGAAUUCACACUCAUAAAAAAUACUCCGGGCGAAUUGGAAAAACUGAAAAGAUUCAAGACAAUCAUCGUCAAUGUUCAACGAGACGUCGCCGGUCGGGAAUUAAGCCAACAAGAUGUUGUCUGGCUGGAUGAGAUGAUAGAUGCUGCGUAUGAUAUCGAGGAUAUCGUAGAUCUGUUUAAUACAAAGAUUCUUCGACGGAGAAGCAACAACAACAGGAUAUCAACACGGUAUACCCGUCGGGUAAUUGAUUUCUUCUCUUGCACCAAUAAUACUCUUAUUUUUCGCCACAAAAUAGGAACUAGGGUGCAAAAUACAUUCGUUAGAUUGGCUAAUAUUGCGGAAGAGAAGAAAUAUCAUCUUACUCUUAGUGGGAGGGAUGGAGUAGAAAACCUGAGAUCAACAAUGCCUGAGACCUUUUCUGAAAUGGGUGAGGAUGAUGUACUGGGAAGAAAACAUGAUCUUAAAAUUAUACUUGAAUAAUUAUUGUUCAAAGAGAAAACAAACAGCGAGGUGCUUGUUUUAGUCGGAAUGGGUGGUGUUGGGAAGACCACACUUGCAAAACUCGUGUACAAUGAUAGCCAAGUAGAUGCUAUCUUUGGUAAAAGAAAGCUUUGGGUUUGCGUAUCAGAAAAUUUUGAUCUGUCGAAAAUUAUCAAACUUGUUAUUGAGCAAAUAGAUGGACACCCGUGUCAACUCGAAGGAUUGCAAGCGUUGAGCAAGAAAUUGAAAGAGCUUUUAGAAAAAAACACGUAUUUAUUAGUUUUGGACGAUGUUUGGACCAGUUCAAGUUUAACUUUGGAUUCUUGGUCGAUUAUGAAAUCAUUGUUUCGUAAUUGUAAGAUUCUGGUAACAACUCGUGAGGAGAAUGUAAAAUAUGUGAUUUUACCAGAAUCUUGCAUACAUCGUGUGGGAUAUCUAUCUUAUGAUGAUUCUCGGACAUUGUUCGAGAAUAUUGCAUUUCCCAAUGGUGAUGUUCCAGAGAAAUUGAAAGAUAUCAGCAAAAGUAUUGUGAAAAAAUGCGAUGGUGUACCUCUAUCUCUGAAGGUUCUUGGUAGUAUGAUGCGAACCAACCAAGAUUACUCUUACUGGAUAGGGAUUGAGAAAAACAAUAUUCUCGAUCCUAAUAUUAAAGGUGAAAAUAGAAUAUUCAAGAUUCUAAAAUUCAGCUAUUAUCAUCUUCCUUUAAAGUCAAAGUUUUGCUUUGUCUACUGUUCUAUUUUCCCCAAAGAUUCAGUUAUGUUUAAAAUAGACUUGAUCCGACAAUGGGUUGGCAAUGGUUUUAUUCCGCUUAACGAGGGAAAUGAGAUUUUCGACGAUUUAUUGUCAAGAUGUUUCUUCCAAGAUGUCGAGAAAGAUGUUUACGGAAGCAUCACAACAUUUAAAAUGCAUGAUUUAAUCCAUGACCUUGCUGAAUCUAUUGCUAAGUCUCUGCAAUGUGGAAUCUUGGAUGAUAGUAUUCAAGAUAGAAAUCUAUCAGAUAGAAAGCAAGUUCGUUAUUUAUCGAUAAUAUUAAACAUGGGAAAAGAAGAAGAAGCUUCUUAUUCAAAUAUUUUGAUCAAAUUGAAAGAUGCAUGUGUGCUACGAACAUUGCAGUUGUUAUCUUAUGGUAUUGUAAGUAAGACAUUUCUGGAUAAUUGCUUCACCAAGUUCAAAUUCUUGCGGGUUUUGGUUUGUUUUGCUCAGUCUAAUCUUGAAGAUAUCCCACCUUCCAUCAACAACCUCAAGCUUCUUAGAUAUGUUGACUUCUCAUUUACGAAUAUAAGACAACUCCCAGAAACGGUCUGCAACCUUCAAAAUUUACAGACGUUGAAACUCAACAAUUGUCGAUAUCUUAUUGUUUUGCCAAAGAAGUUGAGAAAAUUAUCCGAGUUAAGGUAUUUGACAAAUGAUAAUUGUUCUGGUUUGGAUUCAAUGCCUGAUGGGAUGGAUCGCUUGAGUCUUUUGCAGACAUUGGAUAUUUUUGCAGUGAAUGAUGGAGGUAAAAAUUUAAAUGAUUUACGACAUCUGAAUCAUCUAGAAGGAAGUCUUUGUAUAAAAAAUCUUCACAGAAGUCGAAAUGUUGUUUUGGAAAAUGGAAUAUUAAAAAGUAAGAGCAAACUUGUAUCAUUGGAAUUGAAUUUUGGAUAUAAUUGUAAACCGACUGAAGAUGUAAAAGUAUUAUAAGCUUUACAACCACAUUCCCAUUUGAAAUCUUUAUGUAUAAGUUCUUUUGGUGGAUUCUUCAUUCCCUUAGACAUGAGUUCUCUUAAAUCCCUUACACAUUUAAAGAUUUCAAGUUGUGAAAACCUUACAUGUCUUCCAAACAACAUGGGUUCUCUUAAAUCCCUUACACAUUUAGAGAUUCAAUUUUGUAAAAACCUUAAAUGUCUUCCAAACAACAUGGGUUCUCUUAAAUCCCUUACACAUUUAGAGAUUUCAUAUUGUGAAAACCUCACAUGUCUUCCAAACAACUUGGGUUUUCUUAAAUCCCUUACAUAUUUAGAGAUUUCAAAUUGUCAAAACUUCACAGGUCUUCCAAACAACUUGGGUUCUCUUAAAUCCCUUACAUAUUUAGAAAUUUCAAAUUGUCAAAACUUCACAGGUCUUCCAAACAACUUGGGUUCUCUUAAAUCCCUUACACAUUUAAAGAUUUCAAAUUGUCAAAACCUCACAUGUCUUCCAAACAACAUGGGUUCUCUUAAAUCCCUUACACAUUUAGAUAUUUCAUAUUAUGAAAACCUCACAUGUCUUCCAAACAGCAUGGGUUCUCUUAAAUCCCUUACACAUUUAAAGAUUUCAAAAUGUCAAAACCUCACAUGUCUUCCAAACAACAUGGGUUCUCUUAAAUCCCUUACACAUUUAGAUAUUUCAUAUUGUGAAAACCUCACAUGUCUUCCAAACAGCAUGGGUUCUCUUAAAUCCCUUACACAUUUAAAGAUUUCAAAAUGUCAAAACCUCACAUGUCUUCCAAACAACAUGGGUUCUCUUAAAUCCCUUACACAUUUAGAUAUUUCAUAUUAUGAAAACCUCACAUGUCUUCCAAACAGCAUAGGUUCUCUUAAAUCCCUUACACAUUUAAAGAUUUCAAAAUGUCAAAACCUCACAUGUCUUCCAAACAACAUGGGUUCUCUUAAAUCCCUUACACAUUUAGAUAUUUCAUAUUGUGAAAACCUCACAUGUCUUCCAAACAGCAUAGGUUCUCUUAAAUCCCUUACACAUUUAAAGAUUUCAAAUUGUCAAAACCUCACAUGUCUUCCAAACAACAUGGGUUCUCUUAAAUCCCUUACACAUUUAGAUAUUUCAUAUUAUGAAAACCUCACAUGUCUUCCAAACAGCAUGGGUUCUCUUAAAUCCCUUACACAUUUAAAGAUUUCAAAAUGUCAAAACCUCACAUGUCUUCCAAACAACAUGGGUUCUCUUAAAUCCCUUACACAUUUAGAUAUUUCAUAUUGUGAAAACCUCACAUGUCUUCCAAACAGCAUGGGUUCUCUUAAAUCCCUUACACAUUUAAAGAUUUCAAAAUGUCAAAACCUCACAUGUCUUCCAAACAACAUGGGUUCUCUUAAAUCCCUUACACAUUUAGAUAUUUCAUAUUGUGAAAACCUCACAUGUCUUCCAAACAGCAUGAGUUCUCUUAAAUCCCUUACAUAUUUAAAGAUUUCAAAUUGUCAAAACCUUACAUGUCUUCCAAACAACAUGGGUUCUCUUAAAUCCCUUACAUAUUUAAAGAUUUCAAAUUGUGAAAACCUCACAUAUCUUCCAAACAACAUGGGUUCUCUUAAAUCUCUUACACAUUUAACAAUUAAAUAUUGUCCAAGUUUGGUUGAUGAUUCUUUUGCCCUGGAAUGUCUUACUUCUCUAAAAGAAAUAGAAGUGACCGGCUGUGAUCAAUGG
rnacentral:lncRNA from 1 species